GUCUCUUUUCUAUUAUUGGUUUUAUUUUGUUGGUUUUGGGCACUAAUCAGGCUGAGUCAUGAACAGGCUUAGCUCCUACAGCACAUGAGGGUCCAUUCAACCAUGAGCCAUCAAUUCGGGCAUGUGAGAGAGACCAUUAUCAGAAUAAAAAAAAAGAAUAGAAAUUGACAUGAGGAGAAGAAGCGGGCAAUACUCACUCACACUCAUCUCCCAUCUUCUGUUUUAUUGGUUUUCGAUUCAGACUGAACCCAAACAAUAUAGAUUCUCUGUCACUCAAUCCCGCCAAAUAACAUGGGUAUUUCCCUUGCAUUAUACUUUUUAAACUU